GGUUAAGCGACUAAGCGUACACGGUGGAUGCCCUGGCAGUCAGAGGCGAUGAAGGACGUGCUAAUCUGCGAUAAGCGUCGGUGAGGUGAUAUGAACCGUUAUAACCGGCGAUUUCCGAAUGGGGAAACCCAGUGUGUUUCGACACACUAUCAUUAACUGAAUCCAUAGGUUAAUGAGGCGAACCGGGGGAACUGAAACAUCUAAGUACCCCGAGGAAAAGAAAUCAACCGAGAUUCCCCCAGUAGCGGCGAGCGAACGGGGAGGAGCCCAGAGCCUGAAUCAGUGUGUGUGUUAGUGGAAGCGUCUGGAAAGGCGCGCGAUACAGGGUGACAGCCCCGUACACAAAAAUGCACAUGCUGUGAGCUCGAUGAGUAGGGCGGGACACGUGGUAUCCUGUCUGAAUAUGGGGGGACCAUCCUCCAAGGCUAAAUACUCCUGACUGACCGAUAGUGAACCAGUACCGUGAGGGAAAGGCGAAAAGAACCCCGGCGAGGGGAGUGAAAAAGAACCUGAAACCGUGUACGUACAAGCAGUGGGAGCCUCUUUAUGGGGUGACUGCGUACCUUUUGUAUAAUGGGUCAGCGACUUAUAUUCUGUAGCAAGGUUAACCGAAUAGGGGAGCCGAAGGGAAACCGAGUCUUAACUGGGCGUUAAGUUGCAGGGUAUAGACCCGAAACCCGGUGAUCUAGCCAUGGGCAGGUUGAAGGUUGGGUAACACUAACUGGAGGACCGAACCGACUAAUGUUGAAAAAUUAGCGGAUGACUUGUGGCUGGGGGUGAAAGGCCAAUCAAACCGGGAGAUAGCUGGUUCUCCCCGAAAGCUAUUUAGGUAGCGCCUCGUGAAUUCAUCUCCGGGGGUAGAGCACUGUUUCGGCAAGGGGGUCAUCCCGACUUACCAACCCGAUGCAAACUGCGAAUACCGGAGAAUGUUAUCACGGGAGACACACGGCGGGUGCUAACGUCCGUCGUGAAGAGGGAAACAACCCAGACCGCCAGCUAAGGUCCCAAAGUCAUGGUUAAGUGGGAAACGAUGUGGGAAGGCCCAGACAGCCAGGAUGUUGGCUUAGAAGCAGCCAUCAUUUAAAGAAAGCGUAAUAGCUCACUGGUCGAGUCGGCCUGCGCGGAAGAUGUAACGGGGCUAAACCAUGCACCGAAGCUGCGGCAGCGACGCUUAUGCGUUGUUGGGUAGGGGAGCGUUCUGUAAGCCUGUGAAGGUGUGCUGUGAGGCAUGCUGGAGGUAUCAGAAGUGCGAAUGCUGACAUAAGUAACGAUAAAGCGGGUGAAAAGCCCGCUCGCCGGAAGACCAAGGGUUCCUGUCCAACGUUAAUCGGGGCAGGGUGAGUCGACCCCUAAGGCGAGGCCGAAAGGCGUAGUCGAUGGGAAACAGGUUAAUAUUCCUGUACUUGGUGUUACUGCGAAGGGGGGACGGAGAAGGCUAUGUUGGCCGGGCGACGGUUGUCCCGGUUUAAGCGUGUAGGCUGAUUUUCCAGGCAAAUCCGGAAAAUCAAGGCUGAGGCGUGAUGACGAGGCACUACGGUGCUGAAGCAACAAAUGCCCUGCUUCCAGGAAAAGCCUCUAAGCAUCAGGUAACAUCAAAUCGUACCCCAAACCGACACAGGUGGUCAGGUAGAGAAUACCAAGGCGCUUGAGAGAACUCGGGUGAAGGAACUAGGCAAAAUGGUGCCGUAACUUCGGGAGAAGGCACGCUGAUAUGUAGGUGAAGCGACUUGCUCGUGGAGCUGAAAUCAGUCGAAGAUACCAGCUGGCUGCAACUGUUUAUUAAAAACACAGCACUGUGCAAACACGAAAGUAGACGUAUACGGUGUGACGCCUGCCCGGUGCCGGAAGGUUAAUUGAUGGGGUUAGCGGCAACGCGAAGCUCUUGAUCGAAGCCCCGGUAAACGGCGGCCGUAACUAUAACGGUCCUAAGGUAGCGAAAUUCCUUGUCGGGUAAGUUCCGACCUGCACGAAUGGCGUAAUGAUGGCCAGGCUGUCUCCACCCGAGACUCAGUGAAAUUGAACUCGCUGUGAAGAUGCAGUGUACCCGCGGCAAGACGGAAAGACCCCGUGAACCUUUACUAUAGCUUGACACUGAACAUUGAGCCUUGAUGUGUAGGAUAGGUGGGAGGCUUUGAAGUGUGGACGCCAGUCUGCAUGGAGCCGACCUUGAAAUACCACCCUUUAAUGUUUGAUGUUCUAACGUGGGCCCGUAAUCCGGGUUGCGGACAGUGUCUGGUGGGUAGUUUGACUGGGGCGGUCUCCUCCUAAAGAGUAACGGAGGAGCACGAAGGUUGGCUAAUCCUGGUCGGACAUCAGGAGGUUAGUGCAAUGGCAUAAGCCAGCUUGACUGCGAGCGUGACGGCGCGAGCAGGUGCGAAAGCAGGUCAUAGUGAUCCGGUGGUUCUGAAUGGAAGGGCCAUCGCUCAACGGAUAAAAGGUACUCCGGGGAUAACAGGCUGAUACCGCCCAAGAGUUCAUAUCGACGGCGGUGUUUGGCACCUCGAUGUCGGCUCAUCACAUCCUGGGGCUGAAGUAGGUCCCAAGGGUAUGGCUGUUCGCCAUUUAAAGUGGUACGCGAGCUGGGUUUAGAACGUCGUGAGACAGUUCGGUCCCUAUCUGCCGUGGGCGCUGGAGAACUGAGGGGGGCUGCUCCUAGUACGAGAGGACCGGAGUGGACGCAUCACUGGUGUUCGGGUUGUCAUGCCAAUGGCACUGCCCGGUAGCUAAAUGCGGAAGAGAUAAGUGCUGAAAGCAUCUAAGCACGAAACUUGCCCCGAGAUGAGUUCUCCCUGACUCCUUGAGAGUCCUGAAGGAACGUUGAAGACGACGACGUUGAUAGGCCGGGUGUGUAAGCGCAGCGAUGCGUUGAGCUAACCGGUACUAAUGAACCGUGAGGCUUAACCUU
rnacentral:rRNA from 1 species